rnacentral:rRNA from 1 species
CAGUCGCCGCGGUAAUACGUAGGUGGCAAGCGUUGUCCGGAAUUGUUGGGCGUAAAGGGCUCGCAGGCGGUUUCUUAAGUCUGAUGUGAAAGCCCCCGGCUCAACCGGGGAGGGUCAUUGGAAACUGGGAAACUUGAGUGCAGAAGAGGAGAGUGGAAUUCCACGUGUAGCGGUGAAAUGCGUAGAGAUGUGGAGGAACACCAGUGGCGAAGGCGACUCUCUGGUCUGUAACUGACGCUGAGGAGCGAAAGCGUGGGGAGCGAACAGGAUUAGAUACCCGGGUAGUCCCUGUCUCUUAUAC